AUGAGUAUAUUGAGCUAGAACUUUCGCGGGGCUGGCAAACCCACGACAAUUCGAGCGCUUCGUGACCUCACGAGGCAACAUGCCCCCUCAAUGCUUUGUAUCGUAGAAACCCAAAUUGAGGGUAGUAGGGUGGAAAAUCUAGCUGGUUCAUUAGGGUUUGACAAGAGCUAUGAUGUUAGUAGCUCAGGAAGAAGUGGUGGAAUUGGUAUUUUUUGGCAUGAUUCAAUAAAGGUUGAAAUAAUUGGUUAUUCCAAGUAUCAUACUGAUGUGAUAGUGGAUGAUUUGGUUGGAACAAAAAAUAGAGUGACCUUCAUUUAUGGGGAGGCCCAAGUAUCAGAAAGAUAUAAAACAUGGAACAUGUUAAGAGGCAUAGCCAGCGUGAGUACUCUUCCUUGGGCAACCAUUGGUGAUUUCAAUGAGGUCCUCGGGCAGGAUGAGCAUGAUGGAGUUGGCGAAUGGAGUCAAGCGCAAAUGGACGCUUUCAGAGAUGCGGUUGAUACUUGUGGUCUCAUGGAUAUUGGAUAUAGGGCAAAGAGCUAG
rnacentral:rRNA from 1 species